ACGCACGCACACACACGCACGCGAGCGCUUCCCAAGGUCACAAGUUCCUUUGGUUGGCCAAGGGCAUGAUGGGAAGUCAGGAGGCUCCCGAACAUGGAGAAGGAGAGCCUUGAAAGCGCCUAGGGAUGCAGGAGAAUCCUGUCCCACUCUCUUAGGAAUCUUCCAGAUUGUUCUCAUCUGCUUGGUUCUCUUUCUUCACAGACUGCUCCCUGACCAUAGCGAGUACGUGGCGUUUUAAAGAUAAAUGGUAAAACUGAACUGGAAAUCCAUCUGGCCGGCUGCCUGCUCUAAUGAAUAACCCCACUUUGGCUCGUGCAAUAGCCGAUGUCAAAAUUUGUGGAACUGUGAAAGAAGUUAAUGCAAGUGAAGCGUUAAGACGUGUUCUCCAUGUAAACUGGCCUUCUGGGGACAUGCUGCUGAUGUCCCUGUGCUCCAUCAGGCACCACGAAUGCGCCGCUCUGGUGGAAGUUAUUGGUAGUGCAGGUGGCUGUACCUGUGUGGGGACCAGAAGCAUAUGGGAAACCUCUACACUUCCUAAUCAGUUCUGCCCUGAACCUAAAACUACUCGAGUAAGUAAAGUCUUUUUGGGUUUUUGUUUUUUUUUUUUUGGUACCAGGAAUCGAACUCGGGACCUUGCGCUUGCGAGGCAGGCGCCAGAACCACUGAGCUAA
rnacentral:lncRNA from 1 species